ACCUACGGGGCGCAGCAGUGAGGAAUAUUGGUCAAUGGGCGGGAGCCUGAACCAGCCAAGUCGCGUGAGGGAAGACGGUCCUAUGGAUUGUAAACCUCUUUAGGCGGGGAGCAAUGCCAGGCACGCGUGCCCGGAGGGAGAGUACCCGCAGAAUAAGCAUCGGCUAACUACGUGCCAGCAGCCGCGGUCAUACGUAGGAUCCGAGCAUUAUCCGGAGUGACUGGGUGUGAAGAGUUGCGUAGGUGGCAUAAUAAGUAGCUAGUGAAAUCUGGUGGCUCAACCAUUCAGACUAUUAGCUAAACUGU
rnacentral:rRNA from 1 species